rnacentral:rRNA from 1 species
UACGUAGGCAGCGAGCGUUGUUCGGAAUACUGGGCGUAAAGAGUGUGUAGGCGGUGUUCUAAGUCUGGUGUGAAAUCUCCCGGCUCAACUGGGAGGGUGCGCCGGAAACUGGAAUGCUAGAGUGUGGGAGAGGUAAGCGGAAUUCCUGGUGUAGCGGUGAAAUGCGUAGAUAUCAGGAGGAACACCUGUGGUGUAGACAGCUUACUGGACCACGACUGACGCUGAGGUGCGAAAGCGUGGGAGCAAACAGGAUUAGAAACCC